UCUAACCUGCCCACUGAAAUUUUUAAAGGGCCGCGGUAUUUUGACUGUGCAAAGGUAGCAUAAUCAUUAGUCUUUUAAUUGGAGGCUUGUAUGAAUGGUUGGAUGAGGUAUUAACUGUCUCAAUUUAAUAAAUAAAAGAAUUUUAUUUUUAAGUUAAAAAGCUUAAAUUUUAUUAAAAGACGAGAAGACCCUAUAGAUCUUUAUAGUUAAAUUUAUAAUAAUUUUUUAGAUUAAUUUUAUUUUUAUAAAUAUAAUUAUUGUAUUGGGGUGAUAAAAAAAUUUAUAAAACUUUUUUUGUAAAUUAACAAUAAUAUUUGAUUAAUUGAUCCAUUUUUUGUGAUUAUAAGAUUAAGUUACCUUAGGGAUAACAGCGUAAUUUUUUUGGAGAGUUCUUAUCGAUAAAAAAGAUUGCGACCUCGAUGUUGAAUUAAAGGUUAAUUUUAGGUGUAGAAGUUUA
rnacentral:rRNA from 1 species